rnacentral:rRNA from 1 species
GAGUUUGAUCUUGGCUCAGAACGAACGCUGGCGGCAUGCCUAACACAUGCAAGUCGAACGAGACCUUCGGGUCUAGUGGCGCACGGGUGCGUAACGCGUGGGAACCUGCCCUUAGGUUCGGAAUAACUCCCCGAAAGGGGUGCUAAUACCGGAUAAUGUCUUCGGACCAAAGAUUUAUCGCCUUUGGAUGGGCCCGCGUUGGAUUAGCUUGUUGGUGGGGUAACGGCCUACCAAGGCGACGAUCCAUAGCUGGUCUGAGAGGAUGAUCAGCCACACUGGGACUGAGACACGGCCCAGACUCCUACGGGAGGCAGCAGUGGGGAAUAUUGGACAAUGGGCGAAAGCCUGAUCCAGCAAUGCCGCGUGAGUGAUGAAGGCCCUAGGGUUGUAAAGCUCUUUUGCCCGGGAAAAUAAUGACUGUACCGGGAGAAUAAGCUCCGGCUAACUCCGUGCCAGCAGCCGCCGUAAC